UACGUAGGGAGCAAGCGUUGUCCGGAAUUACUGGGCGUAAAGCGUGCGCAGGCGGUUCGCUAAGACAGAUGUGAAAUCCCCGGGCUUAACCUGGGAACUGCAUUUGUGACUGGCGGGCUAGAGUAUGGCAGAGGGGGGUAGAAUUCCACGUGUAGCAGUGAAAUGCGUAGAGAUGUGGAGGAAUACCGAUGGCGAAGGCAGCCCCCUGGGCCAAUACUGACGCUCAUGCACGAAAGCGUGGGGAGCAAACAGG
rnacentral:rRNA from 1 species